AAAUGGCUUGGAUACUGGAUACCUUGAAUCUGACAGAGGUCGGUGGAAUUCGUAGUGUAGCGGUGAAAUGCAUAGAUAUUACGAAGAACAUCAGUGGCGAAGGCGGCCGGCUGGGUCAGUAUUGACGCUGAGGCACGAGAGCGUGGGGAGCGAACAGGAUUAGAUACCCUGGUAGUCCACGCUGUAAACGAUGUAUGCUAGUUGUUGGGCUUUCGGGCUCAGUGACGCAGUUAACGCAGUAAGCAUACCACCUGGGGAGUACGUUCGCAAGAAUGAAACUCAAAGGAAUUGACGGGGGCCCGCACAAGCGGUGGAGCAUGUGGCUUAAUUCGAUGCAACGCGAAGAACCUUACCCGGGCUAAAUCCACGAUGACCGGUCCCGAAACGG
rnacentral:rRNA from 1 species